AUUUAAAUAGUUUAAUAAAAAUAUUAGUUUGUGGGACUAAAGAUAUAAUUAUUUAUUUUAAAUA
rnacentral:tRNA from 1 species